rnacentral:rRNA from 1 species
CCUGACUGCUAUCGGAUUGAUACUAAGCCAUGCGAGUCAUUGUAGCAAUACAAGGCAUACGGCUCAGUAACGCGUAGUCAACCUAACCUAUGGACGGGAAUAACCUCGGGAAACUGAGAAUAAUGCCCGAUAGAACACUAUACCUGGAAUGGUUUGUGUUCCAAAUGAUUUAUCGCCAUAGGAUGGGACUGCGGCCUAUCAGUUUGUUGGUGAGGUAAUGGCCCACCAAGACUAUUACAGGUACGGGCUCUGAGAGGAGUAGCCCGGAGAUGGGUACUGAGACACGGACCCAGGCCCUAUGGGGCGCAGCAGGCGAGAAAACUUUGCAAUGUGCGAAAGCACGACAAGGUUAAUCCGAGUGAUUUGUGCUAAACGAAUCUUUUGUUAGUCCUAGAAACACUAACGAAUAAGGGGUGGGCAAGUUCUGGUGUCAGCCGCCGCGGUAAAACCAGCACCUCAAGUGGUCAGGAUGAUUAUUGGGCCUAAAGCAUCCGUAGCCGGCUCUGUAAGUUUUCGGUUAAAUCUGUACGCUUAACGUACAGGCUGCCGAGAAUACUGCAGAGCUAGGGAGUGGGAGAGGUAGACGGUACUCGGUAGGAAGUGGUAAAAUGCUUUGAUCUAUCGAUGACCACCUGUGGCGAAGGCGGUCUACCAGAACACGUCCGACGGUGAGGGAUGAAAGCUGGGGGAGCAAACCGGAUUAGAUACCCGGGUAGUCCCAGCUGUAAACUAUGCAAACUCAGUGAUGCAUUGGCUUGUGGCCAAUGCAGUGCUGCAGGGAAGCCGUUAAGUUUGCCGCCUGGGAAGUACGUACGCAAGUAUGAAACUUAAAGGAAUUGGCGGGGGAGCACCACAAGGGGUGAAGCCUGCGGUUC